UCGCGACGUUUACUUUGAACAAAUUGGAGUGCUUCAAGCAGGCAAUUUGCCUGAACAUUUUUGCAUGGAAUAAUGAAAUAUGACCUGGUCGUCGUUUCGUUGGUUUGGUACGAUCAGGAAAUGAUUGAGAGGGACAUACGGGGACAGUCGUAUUGUGGCGGGAGAGGUGAAAUUCUACGAUCGCCGCAAGACGUACAAAUGCGAUGGCAACUGUCAAGCGUGUUUCCAUCAAUCAAGAGCGAAAGUCAGAGGUUCGAAGACGAUCAGAUACCGACCUAGUUCUGACUAUAAACGAUGUCGGCUGGCGAUCUGCUGAUUAAUAAUCAAACAGACCAGUGGGCAGCCCUCGGGAAACCAAAGCUUUUGGAUUCCGGGGGAAGUAUGGUUGCAAAGCUGAAACUUAAAGGAAUUGACGGAAGGGCACCACCAGGAGUGGAGCCUGCGGCUUAAUUUGACUCAACACGUGGAAUCUCACCAGGUCCGGACAUAGUAAGGAUUGACAGAUUGAGAGCUCUUUCUCGAUUUUAUGGAUGGUGGUGCAUGGCCGUUCUUAGUUGGUGGAGCGAUUUGUCAGGUUAAUUCCGAUAACGAACGAGACUCUAGCCUGCAAAAUAGUAACCUCUCACCCGUGGGAGGGAUACUUCUUUGAGGGACAAUCGGCUUCUAGCCGAACGAGAAAGAGCAAUAACAGGUCUGUGAUGCCCUUAGAUGUUCUGGGCCGCACGCGCGCUACACUGAAGGAUAUAACGGGUGUUUUGCUUUGCUCGAAAGAGUUGAGUAACCCUGUAACGUUCUUCGUGCCAGGGAUCGGAGAUUGCAAUUAUUUUCCGUGAACUAGGAAUUCCUAGUAAGCGCGAGUCAUCAGCUCGCGUUGAUUACGUCCCUGCCCUUUGUACACACCGCCCGUCGCUACUACCGAUCGGAUGUGUUGGGGAGGCCUUUGGA
rnacentral:rRNA from 1 species